rnacentral:ncRNA from 1 species
GGAGUAAAGCUUGCUGUGAGAAGUCAGCAGAGGCCAUAGUACCGGGAAGUUUUUUUUUCUCGGGAAGGGC